UAAGAGGGUUGUUGAUGGUCUGAAUGGUGCAUUACUUGGAUCCAAGCAGCUGGUUUUUGUAACUUCAGCAAAAGAUCAUGCCUCAUGAUGAUGGUGUCAGUAAGGGAUUUGGCUUUGUGAGUUUUUCCAAAUUUCAAUCCUGGAGAUGCAAAGAAGGCUAUGGAUUCACUUAAUGGUAAAGCUAUUGUGCUCAUUCGUCUCAAUGUGUAUUUGUGCCUACUGAUGAUUUGAUUUUCUAAUUUUAGUUAAUUGUUUAUAGGAACAAGUUGUAAUGGAAUGUGCUUGUAUGUGGCCUUAUAUAUUUAUAUAUUGUGGAUUGAAGUGUGAUGAUAUAAAGUAUUAUGUUUUGAUGA